CAUCACUGAUGACACAAUGUUAGAGCCAUGUGUCUGGGCUCUGAGACCCCAUGAUGGAACUGAGAGAUU
rfam:Erinaceus europaeus unplaced genomic scaffold scaffold00163, whole genome shotgun sequence